ACUAAGUGAGCUACUUAAGAAUAGCUUCCUAGAGCCAACCCCUCUCUGUCGCAAAAGAGUGGGACAAUUUUUAAGUAGAGGCGAUAAACCAACCGAACUCAGAGAUAGCUGGUUUUUUAAGAAAUGAAUUUUAGUUCAGCCCUAAGCCUCAAAACUAAACAGAAAGUUUACUUAGACUUAGGAGUUAUUCAGAUAAGGCACAGCUUAUCUGAAACAGGAUACAACCUGCAUUAUUGGGUAAGAUAUUGAAUUGAGAUUAAGUAGGCCUAAAAGCAGCCACCUUUAAAAUAGCGUCAAAGCUUAAUUUGAUAAUUUUAUUAAUUUCCUAAACUACCUCUAACCCAUUUUUUCUAUUAAAAAACUCCAUAAAACUAUGGAAAUUAUUAUGCUAGAACGAGUAACAAGAAAAAGAAUUUCUCCAAAAUGUAAGCUUAAGCCACAAUAGACACCCUACUGGCAGUUAACGUUUAUAAAUAAUUUGUAGUAACAUCAACAAGAAAACUCUAUAUUUUUUUACGUCAAUCUUACACUA
rnacentral:rRNA from 1 species